AUUCUUUGUAAGCAGGCAGCAAUAGGUCUUUAAAGGCUUCUCUGUUACUGAAGAGGUAAGGUGUGGGGUCUCUGAGUGCCUGCAGACCUUUCUCCUUGGGUGGCUGGAUCUGAAGAUGAGGCAUGGCAGAGGAAGAACUGCGAACAGCUCAAGCUGUGUCUAACAACAGCCCACGUAGCCCAUUAACUGCAGGUAUUUACCCCUUUCCUCUUCUGAGUUUCCUGCGUCCUUACAUCCCUGCGUUGUUCUUACCUCCUUCACGGCACUAACGUUUUCUCCAGUCUCCAUUACAGUCCCCGAAAACUCCAUCCCUGCAGGAGGACAAGGACGUGCACGUGUUGACACAACCCAUUUUUGCUUAUGCAAUUAGCAGCAUCCUCAGCUGAUGGACCUGCAGAUGAGGUCUCGCUUCCAGAACCAUGAAGCUGUGGAAAUCACUCAGCAACAGGAAUUUCUGUGCUCCUCAGCCCUCUCACCUUCACUUAUAACACCGCAAUGCAAAGAAAUAACCACCAGGCUCUGCUGCCAAGGCUGCUGAACAUCCGUGGGUUGCACCCACACAGUGCACAUGGAGCAGAUCCCUGGGCCAAGCCAUGAAGUUUUCAGCAGCAAAGCACCAGUUGGGCAGAAGAUGGCAGCAUCAGCACGGGGGACAGCAAGUGCUUGCUCGUUAAGGCAAGACUCUUUCAGUUUGGAAUACCAAUAUAUUUUUGCAGAGGAAGGAAGGCGCUUCCACACCGUGAGACUUCAGAAAUGUGCUUUUUUUGCACAUCUUUUUUGCUGCGAGACAGCAGUUCCUGGGCUGGUGGAGCCAAAGGAGCUGUCACAGCCCGAAGGAGCACCACACACACAUUGCCUGUGCGCAGCGCUGCUGGAAGGCGCUGGGGCAGAGAGAUUUUGUGGAGGGAGAGGAGGUGCCUUCAGCCACAUGCGCUUAUGGUGGUUAUUGCAGCUCUGGACAGAAGGACCCAGCCCUGCCCAAAACCACUCUGUGCUUUGGUGUUCAUAGCUUCCAGGCAAACAAUACUUCCUGUUGUUCUCCCCAGACUAGCAAGUUCUCUUUGCAUGCCACCUUCGAAAUGCAAUAUGUUACGUCGGGUAUUAUCAGAGGGUGUUAAAACAUGAUCCUAUGGACCCUAAAAGAUUUGUCAAGUCAGCUGAUGCUUUCUUGGCAGCAGCCUUCUCCUCGCAGGGCUGCUCAUCUCCCUAGGAUGUGCCACUCGAGCACAUUUGGCACUGCCCCCUCUGCACAGCUCGGUCACCUACUCACCAGGGGUGAAGGGAGGAGUGUGUCUGUCCUGGUACAGACCCUGGCAGGCCAAGAUAUCAGCAAAAUUUAACCCGCAGUACUGGACACCCACACGGA